AGCUGUCAGAGUUAUGUACAGUUAGAUAAAACCAUGCCACUUUCUCUCACCUCCAGGGCCUUGAGGAAGAUGCUCCGCCACCGCGUCUUCAUCAUUCCAAUUGCCCUCUCCACCACACAUCUGGCCUUGGAAUGAUGCCGGUUGUACCUGGCCUGAACAGGGUUUUGCACCGGCUCCCUGUGUGGGGUCAAUAGGCUGAUUGGUGCAGCAAGGCAGGGAUACCCCCCAUCCCCAAGGAUGCACCAGCCACGAGGGGGGUACAGUUUCUCCACAUAAAUGGAGCUCCACCGCAGGACCCUGGCAUCAUGUACAGAACCAGGAAGCCCUGUGAACAAAGGUGGCUUAAUCCUGAUGUGUGUCCCAUCAAUGCUGCCUGCCACUCUGUGGAAGGCACGGGAGCCAGCCAGAUGGGCAAAGCCGUCCCCUAUGCCCUCUAGCUCAUCAGCAUCAGGGAGAUGGACCCCCCUAUUGAUGAUGCUGAUGAUGUGUACAGCGACUCGAUGUACAACAUCAUGUACUGUGGAGGUGGGGAUAUCAAAGGCCUCUGACACCACCCGAUAUGAGGUGGCACUGGCCAGCCAAUAGAAAUAAAUCCCCACCUCCAAGUCUUUCCCCCAGCCAUGGUCCUUGGUGUACCCCAGACAGCUCACCAAGUUAUUGACCGUCUGCCUUAACAGACGGAAAUUCCUCUUCAGCUCUGCAUUGCCAAGGUAGAGGCAGACAAUGGCACUGUUAUGGUUCAGGUGCUGAUAUGAUCCUCGUAUCAGCCCAUGCUGCAAGAGUAGGGACAGUUGCUUAAAUUAGUGCUACAUUUAGAAUGAAAUAAGUUGUACUGUAAGUGUAAGUACUGUUUCUGAAUUGUUGUUUGCCUUGAUGUUAUGUUACUGUUCUCUUAAAUCACUGUACAAUUUAAUUUUGAGUGUUUAGUUCAGCUUUCAGAAAACAAUAAAGUGGCUCCCCAGAA